rnacentral:rRNA from 1 species
ACACAUGCAAGUCAACUUGAAUUUGGGUUUUUAACUUAGAUUUGGGUGGCGGACGGGUGAGUAACGCGUAAAGAACUUGCCUCACAGCUAGGGACAACAUUUAGAAAUGAAUGCUAAUACCUGAUAUUAUGAUUUUAAGGCAUCUUAGAAUUAUGAAAGCUAUAAGCACUGUGAGAGAGCUUUGCGUCCCAUUAGCUAGUUGGAGAGGUAACAGCUCACCAAGGCGAUGAUGGGUAGCCGGCCUGAGAGGGUGAACGGCCACAAGGGGACUGAGACACGGCCCUUACUCCUACGGGAGGCAGCAGUGGGGAAUAUUGGACAAUGGACCGAGAGUCUGAUCCAGCAAUUCUGUGUGCACGAUGAAGUUUUUCGGAAUGUAAAGUGCUUUCAGUUGGGAAGAAAGAAAUGGCGGUACCAACAGAAGAAGUGACGGCUAAAUACGUGCCAGCAGCCGCGGUAAUACGUAUGUCACGAGCGUUAUCCGGAUUUAUUGGGCGUAAAGCGCGUCUAGGUGGUUAUGUAAGUCUGAUGUGAAAAUGCAGGGCUCAACUCUGUAUUGCGUUGGAAACUGUAUAACUAGAGUACUGGAGAGGUAAGCGGAACUACAAGUGUAGAGGUGAAAUUCGUAGAUAUUUGUAGGAAUGCCGAUGGGGAAGCCAGCUUACUGGACAGAUACUGACGCUAAAGCGCGAAAGCGUGGGUAGCAAACAGGAUUAGAUACCCUGGUAGUCCACGCUGUAAACGAUGAUUACUAGGUGUUGGGGGUCGAACCUCAGCGCCCAAGCAAACGCGAUAAGUAAUCCGCCUGGGGAGUACGUACGCAAGUAUGAAACUCAAAGGAAUUGACGGG